CUGGGGGACCCAGUGACCCUUCUGGCUGCUAGAGUCUGCUGACCAUGAUUCACGAGCCAGCGUGGGAGGCAGCAGAGGAGUCAGCUGAUGGUGACACUUCAGGAUCUGGCCGCCUUUUUCUGAUCAUUAGCAACUAUGUUGGGAAUAAGGCAGGGCCCCGUUUAGCUAAUCAGAACUUCCAGGGCUAGAUAUGGAGAGAAGCUAAAAAGGAGAUGGGAAGGUACCAGCCUGUGCUAGGUGAUUUACACAAAUUAUUUUGCUUCCCACUGUGACAUUAUGGGUUUGAACUACUAGUUGUAGUAAUCAUAAUAACAGCUAGCAUUAAUUGAGGAUUUACUUUGUGCCAGUCCCUUCCUUAAAGGACUUUAUAUUCAUUAUCUCAAGCUAACUUAUAUAACAAUUAUAUGGCAUAGAUACCAUCGUUAUCCUCAUUUUUCUGGUUAAAAAAUUGGGUCAGGUUUUGGGUCAGGGCACAGAGAGAGGGCACUUGCCCAUUUCACAGCUUUUAAGUGGCAGAGUUGGGACUUGAACCUACUUCAUCUGAUGCCAGAGCCUGCAGAACGCAGAAGCCUUGAUGUCCUAUCCUUCAGCACAUACAAAACAGAACAAGCAAACACAUUAGAAUGGACGUGGAAUGGAUACGAAAGACCCUAUCUACCCUGAGAGUCAACUUUGAGUGCAACUUUGAGUCAAAGACCACGGAGGGGAUGCAUGGAGUAUUAGGACAAUUCUGAGACAUGUUCUCCAUGAUAUCUCAGAGGUCUCCAGUGGGACCGAUCCUCGGUUUCCUGAAGAAGUAACCAACUCAGUAACACACCCUGCCAACAUUCCCAUCUCUGUCGUGACUCCCUCACUUAAGAUCACCUUGCAAAUAAGUCACCAAGUCUGUCUUCGUGUCUGGUUGUAGGGAACCCAACCUGAGCUAUACAUUCAAGGACAGCCUCACUGAGAAAGUGAUGUUUGAGCUGAGACCCAAAUUAUGUGAAAUAACCAAGAUGUCGAGAUCUGGAAGAGAGAAUUUUCCAGGGAAAGGGAGGAGCAGGAACCAAAGCCCUAAGACAUGAAGGAGCUGGAAAACUCAGGGAACAGAGAAGGCUAGUGUAGCCUGAGCACAGGGACAGAUAAGAGCUGGUAGGAGAUGAAGUCAGAGAGGUAGGUAAGGGCAGGCCAUGACACGGUGCUUGGAUUUCACUCCAAGUUUAAUCGAAGCAUUGGAGAGUAGUAAACAGGGAAGGAACCCCACCUGAUUUGCAUUUUUGGAAGAUUCCUCCUGGUGUGUUGUUGAGAAGAGGUUGUAGGAUAGUAGGAGAGGAAGCCACAGCUGCUUAAGAGGCUGGUUCUGCUGUGACUAGAGUCUCAGAAUCACUCUUAAAUGGUUCCAUUGGGGUUUGCCUCUAAUACCCCCUCUCCUUUGAGGAUGCAAUCCAGACAGAGACCAGACAACCCCUUGGAUCUUUAGAUCUUUUGUUUUCCUAGCCGUGCCCUUCCCCCACCCAGUACCCUCCACCUUGCGAGACAUAAGCUCCCAUCUAUGAGAAUGCAGACUGACAUAGGUGUAUAUGGUGGAGGAGGGAAAUGUGAGCUGUAUCAACAACAGCCAAACCACAAUGUCUCGUGUAUUGUUAACCUGGGUGUCACCUACCUUUCUUCCAAGUCCUGUGUCACACACUCUUCUAUCAUGGCUGCCAUACAUGGCCCCGUGAUGGCAAAUGACACAUGACACUAAGGUCAACAUGGAUACAGACUUCAGAGCCCCUCUGGAUAUCUCAAAAGAAUCCACAUGGGCUUCUUAGUGAGAAAUCUAGACUUCAUUGAAUAUCUCAUGGGAAAGGUGGAAAAGAAAGCUCACAUUGCACACCUGUGUAUUCCUGUUUCCCCCCAAGACCCUGUCCUAGGAUAAGAGAGAGGUGAAAAGGAGACAGGUGCCAGGGAGGAGCCAGAUCAUGCAGGGCCUUUUAUGUCAUGCUCAGGAGCACUUGUGUUUUGGGGAGUUAUGCUAAAAAUAAGACCCAAACCACAUAUAACAAAGGACAAGGCUGAGGUGGCCAAGGUCACAUUAAAGCAGAAUCAGGGCAAACGUUGACUACAUGUAUGAGUUUCUUGUGGCUGCUAUAACAAAUUACCACCAACUUAGUGGCUCAAGCCAACACAAGUUAUUGUCUUGCAGUUUGGGUGGUCAGAAUUCUAAAAUAGGUCUACAGGGCUGGUUUCUUCUGAAGACUUUAAGGGAAAAUCCCUUUCCUUAUCUUUUCCAGCUCCUGGAGGCUACCUAGAUUUCUUGGUUUAUGGCCCCUUCCUCACAUUACUCCAACCUCUGCUUCUGUCAUCUAUCAGUCUCUGCUUCUGACUCUGAUCCUCCCCGUAUCUGAGGACCCAUAUCAUUACAUUGGGCCCAUAAUCCACAAUAAUCUCUCCAUCUCAAAAUCCUUAACUUAAUCACACCUGUGAAAUCCAUUUAGCGGUGGAAGAAUGUAUUCACAGGCUCUGGGGAUUAGUAUGUGGACAUCUUGGUGUGGGGAGGAAGGGGCAUUGUUCCGACUACCACCACACUAAGUGUGUUUUUAGGUGUAGAACUGGAACCUAAAUUUUGUGCUGUGCUUCAUAAGAAAUAGAUUCUGGUUUUGGCCUCAGAUGGCAUCCCAGCACUAGCCAGACAGUCAAGGUAUCAGGCAAAAGGAAUAGGUCUGUGCAACAUGUCCCCUCUCCUGGGAAACGAAGACAUCAUAUUCAAAAGCAACAACAACAAAAAAAAAAACAUAUAGCAGUGGAAAGAAGCCCCUGGACCUGGGUUCUGAUCUAUACACAUAACACAUGUUUGGCAAAUAUUGGCCCACUCUCUUCUCGGGGUCUGCCUGCUCUGUGGGGUCAGGACCUUCACCUGGGUCAUGGCAUCCUGCUUUCUACUAUCAACACAUUUUUAGUAAUAUAUCAGAAUUUACUUUCCUGUUUCUCCCACUUGACUGAGCAUUUUGGGGGGAAAGUGGCUACUGCUAGGUAUUUAAUACAUUAAAAAUAAAAAUUUUACUAAGCUCUUA